rnacentral:rRNA from 1 species
UACGGGGGGGGCGAGCGUUGUUCGGAAUUACUGGGCGUAAAGAGCUCGUAGGCGGUCUGUCGCGUCUGCUGUGAAAACUCAGGGCUUAACCCUGAGCUUGCAGUGGGUACGGGCAGACUAGAGUGCGGUAGGGGAGACUGGAAUUCCUGGUGUAGCGGUGAAAUGCGCAGAUAUCAGGAGGAACACCGGUGGCGAAGGCGGGUCUCUGGGCCGUAACUGACGCUGAGGAGCGAAAGCAUGGGGAGCGAACAGG